CCCUGUGUCGUUAUACCUUCGUUGCUUUGGCGGGCCGCGGGGCCCCGGCCCCGCCCCUGGCUCCGGCUAGGGCGCGCCCGCCAGAGGACCUCAAAACCUGAAUGUUAGUGUCGUCUGAGUACUAUAUAAUAGUUAAAACUUUCAACAACGGAUCUCUUGGUUCUGGCAUCGAUGAAGAACGCAGCGAAAUGCGAUAAGUAAUGUGAAUUGCAGAAUUCAGUGAAUCAUCGAAUCUUUGAACGCACAUUGCGCCCCUUGGUAUUCCGGGGGGCAUGCCUGUUCGAGCGUCAUUACAACCCUCAAGCUCUGCUUGGUCUUGGGCGUCACCGGUCCCGGUGUGCCUUAAAAUCAGUGGCGGCGCCAUCUGGCUCUAAGCGUAGUACAUACUCUCGCUACAGACGUCCGGUGGAUGCUGGCCAGCAACCCCCAACUUAUCAAGGUUGACCUCGGAUCAGGUAGGGAUACCCGCUGAACUUAAGCAUAUCAAUA
rnacentral:rRNA from 1 species